rnacentral:snRNA from 13 species
AGCUUUGCGCAGUGGCAGUAUCGUAGCCAAUGAGGUUUAUCCAAGGCGCGAUUAUUGCUAAUUGAAAGAUUUAAAGACAAAGGCAUGUACCUUCAAGUAAUGAUUUAAUCAUUCAGUUCAGCAGAUGUAUUUAUUAUAUAUACUUCACCAAACAGUUCCGUUUAUAGAAGGGUCCAAUUAUAUUUUUCAUGUAAGUAGGACUAAAUGAAAUUUGUGAUUCUGAAUUUUGA